rnacentral:pre_miRNA from 1 species
CUUCAGCGAUCCUUUCCAUCCACGUGUAUCCUCCUGCUCCGCCUAGUCCGUUCUGAGAAUGGACUAGGCGGGGACUAGGCGGAGCAGGAGGAUACACGUGGAUGGAAAGGAUCGCUGAAGA